UCUAAACGACUCUCGGCAAUGGAUAUCUCGGCUCUCGCAUCGAUGAAGAACGUAGCGAAAUGCGAUACUUGGUGUGAAUUGCAGAAUCCCGUGAACCAUCGAGUCUUUGAACGCAAGUUGCGUCCGAAACCACUUGGUUGAGGGCACGUCUGCCUGGGCGUCACGC
rnacentral:rRNA from 1 species